GGUUAAGCGACUAAGCGUACACGGUGGAUGCCCUGGCAGUCAGAGGCGAUGAAGGACGUGCUAAUCUGCGAUAAGCGUCGGUAAGGUGAUAUGAACCGUUAUAACCGGCGAUUUCCGAAUGGGGAAACCCAGUGUGAUUCGUCACACUAUCAUUAACUGAAUCCAUAGGUUAAUGAGGCGAACCGGGGGAACUGAAACAUCUAAGUACCCCGAGGAAAAGAAAUCAACCGAGAUUCCCCCAGUAGCGGCGAGCGAACGGGGAGCAGCCCAGAGCCUGAAUCAGUGUGUGUGUUAGUGGAAGCGUCUGGAAAGGCGCGCGAUACAGGGUGACAGCCCCGUACACAAAAAUGCACAUGCUGUGAGCUCGAUGAGUAGGGCGGGACACGUGGUAUCCUGUCUGAAUAUGGGGGGACCAUCCUCCAAGGCUAAAUACUCCUGACUGACCGAUAGUGAACCAGUACCGUGAGGGAAAGGCGAAAAGAACCCCGGCGAGGGGAGUGAAAAAGAACCUGAAACCGUGUACGUACAAGCAGUGGGAGCACAGAGCAAUCUGUGUGACUGCGUACCUUUUGUAUAAUGGGUCAGCGACUUAUAUUCUGUAGCAAGGUUAACCGAAUAGGGGAGCCGAAGGGAAACCGAGUCUUAACUGGGCGUUAAGUUGCAGGGUAUAGACCCGAAACCCGGUGAUCUAGCCAUGGGCAGGUUGAAGGUUGGGUAACACUAACUGGAGGACCGAACCGACUAAUGUUGAAAAAUUAGCGGAUGACUUGUGGCUGGGGGUGAAAGGCCAAUCAAACCGGGAGAUAGCUGGUUCUCCCCGAAAGCUAUUUAGGUAGCGCCUCGUGAAUUCAUCUCCGGGGGUAGAGCACUGUUUCGGCAAGGGGGUCAUCCCGACUUACCAACCCGAUGCAAACUGCGAAUACCGGAGAAUGUUAUCACGGGAGACACACGGCGGGUGCUAACGUCCGUCGUGAAGAGGGAAACAACCCAGACCGCCAGCUAAGGUCCCAAAGUCAUGGUUAAGUGGGAAACGAUGUGGGAAGGCCCAGACAGCCAGGAUGUUGGCUUAGAAGCAGCCAUCAUUUAAAGAAAGCGUAAUAGCUCACUGGUCGAGUCGGCCUGCGCGGAAGAUGUAACGGGGCUAAACCAUGCACCGAAGCUGCGGCAGCGACACUAUGUGUUGUUGGGUAGGGGAGCGUUCUGUAAGCCUGUGAAGGUGUACUGUGAGGUAUGCUGGAGGUAUCAGAAGUGCGAAUGCUGACAUAAGUAACGAUAAAGCGGGUGAAAAGCCCGCUCGCCGGAAGACCAAGGGUUCCUGUCCAACGUUAAUCGGGGCAGGGUGAGUCGACCCCUAAGGCGAGGCCGAAAGGCGUAGUCGAUGGGAAACAGGUUAAUAUUCCUGUACUUGGUGUUACUGCGAAGGGGGGACGGAGAAGGCUAUGUUGGCCGGGCGACGGUUGUCCCGGUUUAAGCGUGUAGGCUGGUUUUCCAGGCAAAUCCGGAAAAUCAAGGCUGAGGCGUGAUGACGAGGCACUACGGUGCUGAAGCAACAAAUGCCCUGCUUCCAGGAAAAGCCUCUAAGCAUCAGGUAACAUCAAAUCGUACCCCAAACCGACACAGGUGGUCAGGUAGAGAAUACCAAGGCGCUUGAGAGAACUCGGGUGAAGGAACUAGGCAAAAUGGUGCCGUAACUUCGGGAGAAGGCACGCUGAUAUGUAGGUGAAGUCCCUCGCGGAUGGAGCUGAAAUCAGUCGAAGAUACCAGCUGGCUGCAACUGUUUAUUAAAAACACAGCACUGUGCAAACACGAAAGUGGACGUAUACGGUGUGACGCCUGCCCGGUGCCGGAAGGUUAAUUGAUGGGGUUAGCGGUAACGCGAAGCUCUUGAUCGAAGCCCCGGUAAACGGCGGCCGUAACUAUAACGGUCCUAAGGUAGCGAAAUUCCUUGUCGGGUAAGUUCCGACCUGCACGAAUGGCGUAAUGAUGGCCAGGCUGUCUCCACCCGAGACUCAGUGAAAUUGAACUCGCUGUGAAGAUGCAGUGUACCCGCGGCAAGACGGAAAGACCCCGUGAACCUUUACUAUAGCUUGACACUGAACAUUGAGCCUUGAUGUGUAGGAUAGGUGGGAGGCUUUGAAGUGUGGACGCCAGUCUGCAUGGAGCCGACCUUGAAAUACCACCCUUUAAUGUUUGAUGUUCUAACGUUGACCCGUAAUCCGGGUUGCGGACAGUGUCUGGUGGGUAGUUUGACUGGGGCGGUCUCCUCCUAAAGAGUAACGGAGGAGCACGAAGGUUGGCUAAUCCUGGUCGGACAUCAGGAGGUUAGUGCAAUGGCAUAAGCCAGCUUGACUGCGAGCGUGACGGCGCGAGCAGGUGCGAAAGCAGGUCAUAGUGAUCCGGUGGUUCUGAAUGGAAGGGCCAUCGCUCAACGGAUAAAAGGUACUCCGGGGAUAACAGGCUGAUACCGCCCAAGAGUUCAUAUCGACGGCGGUGUUUGGCACCUCGAUGUCGGCUCAUCACAUCCUGGGGCUGAAGUAGGUCCCAAGGGUAUGGCUGUUCGCCAUUUAAAGUGGUACGCGAGCUGGGUUUAGAACGUCGUGAGACAGUUCGGUCCCUAUCUGCCGUGGGCGCUGGAGAACUGAGGGGGGCUGCUCCUAGUACGAGAGGACCGGAGUGGACGCAUCACUGGUGUUCGGGUUGUCAUGCCAAUGGCACUGCCCGGUAGCUAAAUGCGGAAGAGAUAAGUGCUGAAAGCAUCUAAGCACGAAACUUGCCCCGAGAUGAGUUCUCCCUGACUCCCUGAGAGUCCUGAAGGAACGUUGAAGACGACGACGUUGAUAGGCCGGGUGUGUAAGCGCAGCGAUGCGUUGAGCUAACCGGUACUAAUGAACCGUGAGGCUUAACCUU
rnacentral:rRNA from 1 species